UACGUAGGUGACAAGCGUUGUCCGGAUUUACUGGGCGUAAAGAGCGCGCAGGCGGUCGUUCAAGUCGAGUGUGAAAGCCCCCGGCUCAACUGGGGAGGGUCAUUCGAUACUGAUCGACUCGAAGGCAGGAGAGGGAAGUGGAAUUCCCGGUGUAGUGGUGAAAUGCGUAGAUAUCGGGAGGAACACCAGUGGCGAAGGCGGGUCUCUGGGCCGAUACUGACGCUGAGGAGCGAAAGCGUGGGGAGCAAACAGG
rnacentral:rRNA from 1 species